AAAAGUAGUCGAAAAUGAAGACAAAGACAGGAGAAAUGGGAAUGGACAGGAUUUUGGGGAGAAACUCGUCACGGGAAACACCCCGACGACUUCACAGUCGACCGAGCCGAGCCGUCUGACACCCUGAGGCACCCUGGCUAUGGAGAAAAGACUCGAGAACAGCAGCAGCCAGGGUAUGUUGUCACACUAUGGGGCCUCGUCUGUACCUGCGAUGAGUGAGAAAGCUGCCGUUGGCAUGUCCUGAUCCAUCACAUCCUGGCGUGGGGCAGGUCGGGCCCUCAGUCUUGAAGGCCUUCCAGGAGAACGGUGUGCCAUUUAACAUGCCCUCCUUCUGCCGGCGUGCUGCCAGUGGGCACCCAUAGGCACUGCGGUGGGUGGCGUAUUUCCCACUGAUAUGCCCCAGACUGUCACAACCUGGCACUGGGCACCUAUAGAGAGUCCUUGGGCUGGAAUUUGACCUUGAAGCUGGAGGUUGUGACCUCACCAGGGUACUUCCUGUCCUCCAUGCUCUCCUGAGUGGCAUCAUCAUCUUCUCCAUCAGAGGAGGCAUAUGAAUGUGUGGUGUACUCCACCUGAGGACAAUGGCACAUCAAAACAAAAAAAACAGCUGAAUUUGUAGAAUGUAU